AACGAACGCUGGCGGCAUGCCUAACACAUGCAAGUCGAACGAGACCUUCGGGUCUAGUGGCGCACGGGUGCGUAACGCGUGGGAAUCUGCCCUUGGGUUCGGAAUAACAGUUGGAAACGACUGCUAAUACCGGAUGAUGACGUAAGUCCAAAGAUUUAUCGCCCAAGGAUGAGCCUGCGUAGGAUUAGCUAGUUGGUGAGGUAAAGGCUCACCAAGGCGACGAUCCUUAGCUGGUCUGAGAGGAUGAUCAGCCACACUGGGACUGAGACACGGCCCAGACUCCUACGGGAGGCAGCAGUGGGGAAUAUUGGACAAUGGGCGAAAGCCUGAUCCAGCAAUGCCGCGUGAGUGAUGAAGGCCUUAGGGUUGUAAAGCUCUUUUACCCGGGAUGAUAAUGACAGUACCGGGAGAAUAAGCUCCGGCUAACUCCGUG
rnacentral:rRNA from 1 species